UGGGGAAUAUUGGGCAAUGGGGGAAACCCUGACCCAGCGACGCCGCGUGGGUGAUGAAGGCCUUCGGGUCGUAAAGCCCUGUCGGGCGGAACGAACGCCUCUAGGGUAAAUAGCCCUAGGGAGUGACGGUACCGCCGAAGGAAGCACCGGCCAACUCCGUGCCAGCAGCCGCGGUAAGACGGAGGGUGCAAGCGUUGCUCGGAAUCACUGGGCGUAAAGGGUGCGUAGGCGGUCUCGCAAGUCUGGCGUGAAAGCCCACGGCUCAGCCGUGGAAGUGCGCUCGAAACGGCGAGGCUGGAGUGCCGGAGGGGAGAGUGGAAUUCCCGGUGUAGCGGUGAAAUGCGUAGAGAUCGGGAGGAAUACCGGUGGCGAAAGCGACUCUCUGGACGGCAACUGACGCUGAGGCACGAAAGCGUGGGGAGCAAACAGGAUUAGAUACCCCCGUAGUCC
rnacentral:rRNA from 1 species